UGCCCAGCAACUCCUAUCCGUACCUCCUCGUGGUACUGGCCGGGGUACGAGUAACCUUAGAGAAGAUCGGGUAACCAACCCCCGGUGGGAACUUUGGUCGUAUGCUGACAGGGAAGG
rnacentral:ribozyme from 1 species